rnacentral:rRNA from 1 species
UACGUAGGAUGCAAGCGUUGUCCGGAGUUAUUGGGCGUAAAGCGCACGUAGGCGGUGCGGUAAGUGUGGUGUGAAAUCUGCGGGCUUAACCCGCAGCGGUCGCUGCAGACUGCCGUGCUUGAGGGCUGGAGAGGAAGAUAGAAUUCCCGGUGUAGUGGUGAAAUGCGUAGAUAUCGGGAGGAAUACCAGUGGCGAAGGCGGUCUUCUGGCCAGUUCCUGACGCUGAGGUGCGAAAGCUAGGGGAGCGAACGGG